CAGCAGUAGGGAAUCUUCCGCAAUGGACGAAAGUCUGACGGAGCAACGCCGCGUGAGUGAAGAAGGCCUUCGGGUCGUAAAACUCUGUUGCCGGGGAAGAACAAGUGCCGUUCGAACAGGGCGGCGCCUUGACGGUACCCGGCCAGAAAGCCACGGCUAACUACGUGCCAGCAGCCGCGGUAAUACGUAGGUGGCAAGCGUUGUCCGGAAUUAUUGGGCGUAAAGCGCGCGCAGGCGGCUUCUUAAGUCUGAUGUGAAAUCUUGCGGCUCAACCGCAAGCGGUCAUUGGAAACUGGGAGGCUUGAGUGCAGAAGAGGAGAGUGGAAUUCCACGUGUAGCGGUGAAAUGCGUAGAGAUGUGGAGGAACACCAGUGGCGAAGGCGGCUCUCUGGUCUGUAACUGACGCUGAGGCGCGAAAGCGUGGGGAGCAAACAGGAUUAGA
rnacentral:rRNA from 1 species